GUGAAAUUAUGUCAGAUGAACCUGGGGUGAGUGGAUUGCCGGUGUGUUCUCUGUCCCCCUCCCGCAGAGAGGAAGGAGAAUUGGAUUUGGACUCAGUUCACAUGUUGCUGCGUAGCUUCCAGCAAGAGCUCAGGGACACAGAGAGAGAGCGGGAUGAGGCACAAGCACAAGAUGAGGCGGUUCAGCGUGGGGAGUUACAGAAUAGGAUUAUGAGUGAAGAGCUGGCCAAAAUGAAGAACAGCCAACAGAUAACUGAGGCAGAGGCCAAAGCACUGCAGGAGAAGCUGGAGUGCUACCAGACCUCUGAGGAAAGUCUCGAAGUUGAGCGUCGCCGUAUGAAGGAGACCUGUGAGGCCACGGAAGCUCGAGCUGCCAAGCUGGAACUCACACGCGUGGGGUUGGGGGGAGAGCUGCAGCAUGCCCAGCUCUGAGCCACAGAGAUGGAGUCAGAGGUCAGCUCACUGCAGGAACGCCUUAACAAACUCCGCAGAGAACUGAGAGACAGUGAAGAGCGUGCUUCCCUCCUGAAGGUUGAGGGUGAGAGGUUGGCAACUGCCUUGGCACACACAGAACUGCAGGAGAGCCAGUUGAGGGAGCAACUGCAGGCCAUGGCUGCAUCCCUGACUGAAAGCAAUGCUGCUGCAGGAACAGCACAGGAUCAGGCUGCUCAGCUGCAGCAAGUUCUCACAGCCAGCGAACAUGACUGGAAGAUGCUGCAGUCACAGAUCUCUAUCUUGGAGCAGACUCACUCCCAGAGGCUCCUGGAAGUGAUGGCUCGCCACAGACAAGAGCUGGACCUGGAGACAGAGUGGAUGAAGGACUCCCAGCAACAGGCUGAGAGAGCACUGGAGGCCCAAGAGAAAGCUCACUGCGAGAGGGUCCACUGCUUGGAGGAACAGGUUUGCACACUGAAAAAACAGUUGAAGCAGGAGAUGAAGAGGAGGCAAGCAUAUAUGAAGCAGAUGUUAAGAUUGGGGCUCUAA
rnacentral:lncRNA from 1 species